rnacentral:rRNA from 1 species
GGGGGAUAACGUCCGGAAACGGACGCUAAUACCGCAUACGUCCUACGGGAGAAAGCAGGGGACCUUCGGGCCUUGCGCUAUCAGAUGAGCCUAGGUCGGAUUAGCUAGUUGGUGGGGUAAUGGCUCACCAAGGCGACGAUCCGUAACUGGUCUGAGAGGAUGAUCAGUCACACUGGAACUGAGACACGGUCCAGACUCCUACGGGAGGCAGCAGUGGGGAAUAUUGGACAAUGGGCGAAAGCCUGAUCCAGCCAUGCCGCGUGUGUGAAGAAGGUCUUCGGAUUGUAAAGCACUUUAAGUUGGGAGGAAGGGCAGUAAAUUAAUACUUUGCUGUUUUGACGUUACCGACAGAAUAAGCACCGGCUAACUCUGUGCCAGCAGCCGCGGUAAUACAGAGGGUGCAAGCGUUAAUCGGAAUUACUGGGCGUAAAGCGCGCGUAGGUGGUUCGUUAAGUUGGAUGUGAAAUCCCCGGGCUCAACCUGGGAACUGCAUUCAAAACUGACGAGCUAGAGUAUGGUAGAGGGUGGUGGAAUUUCCUGUGUA